CGUUUAUAAGAGGUCAGCCUGCCAGUGACUCUGUUCACGGCCGCGGUAUCCUAACCGUGCGAAGGCAAAUGAAAUCACUUGUUCUUUAAAUGUGGACUAGUAUGAAUGGCAUCACGAAGGUUAUACUGUCUCCUUUUUCUAAUCAGUGAAACUAAUCUCCCCGUGAAGAAGCGAGGAUAAAACUAUAAGACGAGAAGACCCUAUGGAGCUUUAAACAUUUAUAACACUUGCUAAAUAAAAUACAAAUUUCAGAAUUAUUUACUCUUUAAGCAACUUGUCUAUAAGUUUUUGGUUGGGGUGACCGCGGAGCAUAAUACAACCUCCAUGUUGAAAGAUCUAUUUCUAAGCUAAGAGCUACACCUCUAAGCAUCAACAUAUUGACAUCCAUUGACCCAAUAUAUUUGAACAACGAACCAAGUUACCCUAUGGAUAACAGCGCAAUCCACUUCAAGAGCUCCUAUCGACAAGUGGGUUUACGACCUCGAUGUUGGAUCAGGGUUUCCCAGUGGUGCAGCCGCUACUAAAGGUUCGUUUGUUCAACGAUUAAAACCCUACGUGAUCUGAGUUCAGACCGGG
rnacentral:rRNA from 1 species